AAAAAAUUAAAAACACCGCCUUCCUUUUUUCUCCUUUCCCUCUUGCCCUAAUUAUCAAUGCUCAAAUGAAAAGGAACGACUACGAUGCAAAGUUGAAAUUGGUCGGAGAAUACAGUCUACGAUGCAAAGUUGAAAAGGAACGACUUAGCAAAAUCCGUAAUGAUGUGAGAAUGCUUCUAACUCUUGAGGACAAAGAUCCAUGAAGAAUAUUCGAAGGCGGAGCUCUCAUGAGGAGGAUGAACAGGGGCCAUUAUCUAGGGCUUUUUUCAAGGAGUGCUCUCUGCAACGUUCUCUACCUCAACUCUCCUCACUUGCGAGCGACCUCAGCUCACCUCUUUCCACCGGAGACCUUAGGCUCACCUCACCUCACCCGAGAUUGGAACGACUGCUCAAGUUUCCAAGCCCUAGGGCUGAUUAAGGGAUCUUUGAGGGUGCUUACUGAUAUCUUGUAUCCUAUGUUAAAAAAAAGAUGGAAUUGGACAUGCCUCUUGAUUACGCAUCAUUCCAACUCUCACCAAAACAUUCAAGAUGUGAAUUGAUUGUUUCCAGUAUUGGAAACAUUGAAAUGCUUGCAUCGGGUUUAGUGAAGCCAGUUUUGACACAUUUGAAGGUUGUGGAGGAACAAGUUGGAUCCUCAUCUCAAUUCAUUAAGCUUGAAGUAGAUAAACGUAAAAAUGUGGACUCAUAGUGCACAAAGGGAACACUUGAGAGAUAGUGUCCUUAUACAAAAUUUAAAGCUUAUACGUUUGAAAUUUGGAUAUAAUCAUAUAAUUGAUAGCUUUUGUCAUUAGGUUUGUUCGUUUUGUAAGUACACCUGAAAUUGUUGAACUAGUGAUCACCUUUGAUGCUGAGAUGUCUCAACUAGAAGCAGCUCGUAAAAUAUAUUUCACAGGGAUCAUCUGAUCAGCUAUCAAGUAACAUAGGUGAUGGUAGAUUAAGCACAACAACUAGGGUUGAUGCAACAAAGAAGGAGCUUUUGAGGGCAAUUGAUGUAAGGCUGACAGUUGUGAAGCAGGAUUUGAAUAUAGCUUGUGCUCGUGCCACUGCUGCUGGUUUUAACCAUGACCCAGUAGCUAACCUCUAGUUGUUUGUAGAGAGAUUUGGUGCCACUCGCCUAAAGAUCUUCGCAAAGAAGGUGGUGUUCUUUGAUUGGUUCAAGAUGAAAGUUCCUCAAUGCAAAGACUCUCAUCUUAUGGUGGUGCUUUCUAGGCUAAAAUCAAAGAUUUUAUCUAUUAUGCUACAACUUUGUGAAGUCGAAAUCAUCUCUUUUUUUUGGCUGCAAGCACAACUGAAGGCUUAGCUUUAGCUAAGUCUACUAUAUCUGAGGAAUUAGGUAUUAACAAGAUACUAAUUGUUGAUUGGGAUGUUUUCUCCUUGUGGUGAUGAUGGAUCAUAUGACAUGAAGGGUGAGGGAGAAGGUGAAGGGUACAAUAUAAAUGUUCCAUGGGAGAUGGAAAAUCUGGUGAUGCAGUUUAUAUUGCAGCAUGGGACCAUAUACCGAUCCCUGUUGCAAGAGAAUUUAAACCUGAUAUAAUUCUAGUUUCAGCAGGAUUUGAUGCAGCUAUUGGUGAUCCUCUUGGAGGCUGUUGUAUUACACCGAUCCCUAUUGUAUUUUUAAACAGCUAUGGGAGGUUCCAGAAGAGGAAUUCAAUGAUGUGAUAGAUACUAAUCUGAAAGGAGUAGAAAAUAGGUUACGUCACUUCAUUCCUCUUAUGAUUGAGAAAAAAACAAGGGAUUCUUGUUAAUAUGUCGUCUGGGUGGGGAAGAUCUGCUGCAGCACAGGGAUAGGGACAGUGGAGGUGGUCAAGUGAGAUCCCGUUGCUUUUAUUUGGGUCUAGUGUUUAUAUUUGGGACUGGAUAAUAAGUAGGAAAGUGGCUGUUUAUACCGUAUAUCUUCAACCCAUCUGGCUUCGAAUGGCAGAAAGCUGUGGAAGAUUUUGAUGAUUGGACUAAGUGGCUUAUGUAUAAAGGUGGAGUUGGAGUGAAAGGAGACAAUAGUUGGGAAUCUUGGCGGGAUGAAGAACAGGCACAUAUCCAGAAAAUUAGAGGGCGUGUACUUGAAACUAUAUUGUGCUUGAGGUUCUUCAUAUUUCAAUACGAGAUAGUCUAUAAGCUCCAGCUCACUGGAAAUCAUACAUCAUUAUUGCUUUACGGGUUCUCAUGGGUGGUGUUAGAUGAAAUUGUGAUGAUAUACUCUCUAGUUCAUAGGAUCAAGGAUUGUCUAUUAGCCUAAGGUCACAAGAAUUAUCGGAGCAGGGGUUCAUUGGUCUUAAAGAAUUAUGAAAGGCAAG